GCUGUACUAUAAUUGUCAACGUGGCCAAGCAAAAAUGAUAGAAUCGGAAACACGAGAAAAUAGCUACAGAAAAAUUGAGUUUUUCACGCAUAUGGAUAUAGCUCUUACCGAGUACAUGGGAAAAGAAGAGAGAAUGACAAGAAAUGUGUUUGAAUUAUAAGAUUAAGGUUGUAGUCAACGCUUGAGUUUUGCCACAUAGAGUAAGGAGCAGUGAAAGGGAAUCAUAGGUAGACGGAGGUGAGUAGGUCGGAGGUGUGAACCACAUUUUCGGUGGAGAGAUCGGAUUUGGCGGAGAAUCACAACGUCGGUGGCCUUGCCGAGACACCAAAUAGGAAUUGUAUGUUGUUUUGGAAUGAAAGAUGAAGAAGCUGGGGAAAAUGACUAAGGAAGAAGAUAGUUACGGUAGAGAGAGAAUGAAGCAAUGUUUGUGAAAUUUUUUUUUAUCUUUAUCGUAUAUAUACAUAAUAAUUAAUUUUAUUAAAUACAUGAGACAUAGAGUUAUCAGUGUCAUUUAACACCAUUUUGAGUUGAGUUUGACCCAUAUUUUCAGUUUUUUCUAUCGUUGCAAAUUUUGAAAUUAUCUACUAUUUUCU